AUGGGCGGCAAACUAUUUCUAAAAGUUAAAUGGGCGGCAAACUAUUUCUAAGAGUUCUAACGUUGUUGUAUGCUCAAGUCAGAUAUUAAACUCAGAACCUUGAUUUAUUUGUUUUUCACAAGUCUCUUGCGGACGUUUAGGUGUCACAAACAAUAUUAUUCUUUUUUGUGAUUUUCCAUUUUCUGUCAUGAAGGGUUAUAAAAUAAUGAAAAUUUGUUCUAAAAAAAGAAGAAUGAAUUAUUUUGAUUUUCAAAUUUUUACGUGACCUCCUUGCUAAAGGAGCAUAUUAACACAUUUGUUGUACAACUCUAUAAGUGCUAAAGAGACAUAUAAUAAUUAUAAAAAAAAUUAAGAAGUCUCUUUACAACUCUAUUAAGUGUUAAAAACUAUUAAGUUGAUGUAAGGAGAACAUUAUAAAUCAAAAUGUGAUACAUAAUUUCCUUUGAUACAUGCAACCGGUGGAAAAUAUGGAUAAAAGUUUCAAAUUUGUUUAUGCUACGAUUAUUCUUUUUUCCCUUUUUCUUGUUUCAAUGCAAAUAAAUCGUCCAUGUCCAUGUGUUAAUGAUCAUGAUUGUCCAGUACUUUGGUGCUAUAAUCCUUUAAAAAGUAGGUGUCGUAAUGGUAUUUGUAUAUGUCAAUCAUAAAGAUUCAUAGAUUAUAUGUGUGUCAGACCUAAGAGAAUACACAAACGCCAUGCUAAAAUAUUUCAUGAGCUAUAAUUUAGUUACUAUGAUCACCCAAUACUUAAAUUUUGUUUUAAGUUUUUCUAAUUUCAUGGACCUUGUUAAUUUUGUACUUUAAGAUGAUGCAAGUGAAAUGAAAUAAAGUAUAUCCAGAAAUAGUAUCAA